rnacentral:rRNA from 1 species
CUCCCAAACCCCUGUGAACAUACCUUAUGUUGCCUCGGCGGAUCAGCCCGCGCCCCGUAAAAAGGGACGGCCCGCCGCAGGAACCCUAAACUCUGUUUUUAGUGGAACUUCUGAGUAUAAAAAACAAAUAAAUCAAAACUUUCAACAACGGAUCUCUUGGUUCUGGCAUCGAUGAAGAACGCAGCAAAAUGCGAUAAGUAAUGUGAAUUGCAGAAUUCAGUGAAUCAUCGAAUCUUUGAACGCACAUUGCGCCCGCCAGUAUUCUGGCGGGCAUGCCUGUUCGAGCGUCAUUUCAACCCUCAAGCCCAGCUUGGUGUUGGGAGCUGCAGUCCUGCUGCACUCCCCAAAUACAUUGGCGGUCACGUCGAGCUUCCAUAGCGUAGUAAUUUACACAUCGUUACUGGUAAUCGUCGCGGCCACGCCGUUAAACCCCAACUUCUGAAUGUUGACCUCGGAUCAGGUAGGAAUACCCGCUGAACUUAAGCAUAUC